UACGGGGGGGGCAAGCGUUGUUCGGAAUUACUGGGCGUAAAGGGCUCGUAGGUGGUCAACUAAGUCAUACGUGAAAUCCCUCGGCUUAACCGGGGAGCUGCGCCUGAUACUGGUUGACUUGAGUUUGGGAGAGGGACGCGGAAUUCCAGGUGUAGCGGUGAAAUGCGUAGAUAUCAGGAGGAACACCGGUGGCGAAGGCGGGUCUCUGGGCAACUACUGACGCUGAGGAGCGAAAGCGUGGGGAGCAAACAGG
rnacentral:rRNA from 1 species